rnacentral:rRNA from 1 species
CAGCCGUAAACUAUGCUCGCUAGGUGUCAGGCAUGGCGCGACCGUGUCUGGUGCCGCAGGGAAGCCGUGAAGCGAGCCACCUGGGAAGUACGGCCGCAAGGCUGAAACUUAAAGGAAUUGGCGUGGGAGCACCACAACGGGUGGAGCCUGCGGUUUAAUUGGACUCAACGCCGGGAAGCUCACCGGAUAAGACAGCGGAAUGAUUGCCGGGCUGAAGACUCUGCAUGACUAGCUGAGAGGUGGUGCAUGGCGUAGACGUCU